AGUGAACGCUGGCGGUAGGCCUAACACAUGCAAGUCGAACGGCAGCACAGUAAGAGCUUGCUCUUACGGGUGGCGAGUGGCGGACGGGUGAGGAAUACAUCGGGAUCUACUUUUUCGUGGGGGAUAACGUAGGGAAACUUACGCUAAUACCGCAUACGACCUACGGGUGAAAGCAGGGGAUCUUCGGACCUUGCGCGAUUGAAUGAGCCGAUGUCGGAUUAGCUAGUUGGCGGGGUAACGGCCCACCAAGGCGACGAUCCGUAGCUGGUCUGAGAGGAUGAUCAGCCACACUGGAACUGAGACACGGUCCAGACUCCUACGGGAGGCAGCAGUGGGGAAUAUUGGACAAUGGGCGCAAGCCUGAUCCAGCCAUACCGCGUGGGUGAAGAAGGCCUUCGGGUUGUAAAGCCCUUUUGUUGGGAAAGAAAAGCAGCAGGUUAAUACCCCGCUGUUCUGACGGUACCCAAAGAAUAAGCACCGGCUAACUUCGUG
rnacentral:rRNA from 1 species